AAGAGGGGGACUUCAGGGAAAGAAGCUGACCCAUCCUUGGUGCUUGUGAAGACAUCUAUGUGAUGACUGGGGCUGGAUCCCUGGGCCGCGGCAGUAGUCAGAGACCACGGAGGAGGAGAGGGGCCACGGAAGAGGCCAGAAGGAGAGGCUGUUGAGGAGACAACCAGAAGGCUGCCAUCAGCAAACCAGGAAGCAGGACCCCUUCCUAUGUCACGUCCACCAGCACCUCACCCAAGGUGGACCUCCCGGCCUCUGGGACUGUGAGAA